rnacentral:rRNA from 1 species
AGCGAACGCUGGCGGCAGGCCUAACACAUGCAAGUCGAACGAACCUUUCGGGGUUAGUGGCGGACGGGUGAGUAACACGUGAGAACGUGCCUUUAGGUUCGGAAUAACUCAGGGAAACUUGUGCUAAUACCGAAUGUGCCCUUCGGGGGAAAGAUUUAUCGCCUUUAGAGCGGCCCGCGUCUGAUUAGCUAGUUGGUUGAGGUAAUGGCUCACCAAGGCGACGAUCAGUAGCUGGUCUGAGAGGAUGAUCAGCCACAUUGGGACUGAGACACGGCCCAAACUCCUACGGGAGGCAGCAGUGGGGAAUCUUGCGCAAUGGGCGAAAGCCUGACGCAGCCAUGCCGCGUGAAUGAUGAAGGUCUUAGGAUUGUAAAAUUCUUUCACCGGGGACGAUAAUGACGGUACCCGGAGAAGAAGCCCCGGCUAACUUCGUG